rnacentral:rRNA from 1 species
AGUGAACGCUGGCGGUAGGCCUAACACAUGCCAGUCGAACGGCAGCACAGUAAGAGCUUGCUCUUACGGGUGGCGAGUGGCGGACGGGUGAGGAAUACAUCGGAAUCUACUUUUUCGUGGGGGAUAACGUAGGGAAACUUACGCUAAUACCGCAUACGACCUACGGGUGAAAGCAGGGGAUCUUCGGACCUUGCGCGAUUGAAUGGGCCGAUGCCGGAUUAGCUAGUUGGCGGGGUAAAGGCCCACCAAGGCGACGAUCCGUAGCUGGUCUGAGAGGAUGAUCAGCCACACUGGAACUGAGACACGGUCCAGACUCCUACGGGAGGCAGCAGUGGGGAAUAUUGGACAAUGGGCGCAAGCCUGAUCCAGCCAUACCGCGUGGGUGAAGAAGGCCUUCGGGUUGUAAAGCCCUUUUGUUGGGAAAGAAAAGCAGCAGGUUAAUACCCCGCUGUUCUGACGGUACCCAAAGAAUAAGCACCGGCUAACUUCGUG